rnacentral:rRNA from 1 species
UACGGGGGGGGGCAAGCGUUGUUCGGAAUUACUGGGCGUAAAGGGCUCGUAGGCGGCCAACUAAGUCAUACGUGAAAUCCCUCGGCUUAACCGGGGAACUGCGUCUGAUAUUGGAUGGCUUGAGUUCGGGAGAGGGAUGCGGAAUUCCAGGUGUAGCGGUGAAAUGCGUAGAUAUCGGGAGGAACACCUGUGGCGAAAGCGGCGCACUGGACCACAACUGACGCUGAGGCGCGAAAGCUAGGGGGAGCAAACAGG